GAUGAACGCUGGCGGCGUGCUUAACACAUGCAAGUCGAACGGAAAGGCCAGUGCUUGCACUGGUACUCGAGUGGCGAACGGGUGAGUAACACGUGGGUGAUCUGCCCUGCACUUCGGGAUAAGCCUGGGAAACUGGGUCUAAUACCGGAUAGGACAAUGGUUUGGAUGCCGUUGUGGAAAGUUUUUUCGGUGUGGGAUGAGCUCGCGGCCUAUCAGCUUGUUGGUGGGGUAAUGGCCUACCAAGGCGUCGACGGGUAGCCGGCCUGAGAGGGUGUACGGCCACAUUGGGACUGAGAUACGGCCCAGACUCCUACGGGAGGCAGCAGUGGGGAAUAUUGCACAAUGGGCGCAAGCCUGAUGCAGCGACGCCGCGUGGGGGAUGACGGCCUUCGGGUUGUAAACUCUUUUCGCUAGGGACGAAGCGUAUUUGUGACGGUACCUGGAGAAGAAGCACCGGCUAACUACGUG
rnacentral:rRNA from 1 species